GGUAUACUGAGUUGAUCACGACCCUCAAUCUUUCGGCCUCCAACAAAACUUCAUCAUGUAACAUUUUGUGGAUGCAUUCGAAUUUUCUGCGUAGAUGAUCAUGCCAUCUUUUGGCAGCCUGGGAAGUCCAAAAUCAAGGCGCCAGCAGAUUUCAGUGUCUGGAGAAAACCUGCAUCUUCAAAG